rnacentral:rRNA from 1 species
CCUACGGGUGGCUGCAGUGGGGAAUAUUGGACAAUGGGCGAAAGCCUGAUCCAGCCAUGCCGCGUGUGUGAAGAAGGCCUUCGGGUUGUAAAGCACUUUCAGUGGGGAAGAAAGCCUUGGGGCUAAUACCCUCGAGGAAGGACAUCACCCACAGAAGAAGCACCGGCUAACUCCGUGCCAGCAGCCGCGGUAAUACGGAGGGUGCGAGCGUUAAUCGGAAUUACUGGGCGUAAAGCGCGCGUAGGCGGUCUGAUAAGCCGGUUGUGAAAGCCCCGGGCUCAACCUGGGAACGGCAUCCGGAACUGUCAGGCUAGAGUGCAGGAGAGGAAGGUAGAAUUACCGGUGUAGCGGUGAAAUGCGUAGAGAUCGGGAGGAAUACCAGUGGCGAAGGCGGCCUUCUGGACUGACACUGACGCUGAGGUGCGAAAGCGUGGGUAGCAAACAGGAUUAGAUACCGAGUAGUC